UACGUAUGGGGCAAGCGUUAUCCGGAUUUACUGGGUGUAAAGGGAGCGUAGGCGGCAGGGCAAGCCUGAUGUGAAAGCCCGGGGCUCAACCCCGGGACUGCAUUGGGAACUGCCCUGCUGGAGUGCCGGAGGGGCAGGCGGAAUUCCUAGUGUAGCGGUGAAAUGCGUAGAUAUCACGCAGAACUCCGAUUGCGAAGGCAGCAUACCGGCGCCCAACUGACGCUGAAGCACGAAAGCGUGGGUAUCGAACAGG
rnacentral:rRNA from 1 species